UUUCUCCUUUACUUGGCUAAAUCCACUUGCUGUCUCCCACCUUCCUGGGAAAAGUCAAUAACCCUUUGGAAAUGAAUUCCAAUAGUAGAUAUGGUGGUGGUACUCUUCCAAUAGAGUAGGAAGUUGAUCAUCUCUGUUAUUGGAGUCUACUCCAAAUAGUUGAAUGAUGCACUGAUGCUCUAGGAAGGUGCCACCUCCCUCCUGAGACAGGUGUCUUAAGUUGUUUGGAUAAGUCACUGACCUGUCCUGAACUGAAGGAAUACUGAGCCUGGCCAGAGAAUGGAUCUUUCCCCUGUUCACAGGCUGGGCCUUUAAGCCCAGGCAGACACACCUGUUGUGCUGAUGAUCUUGGAGAACCAGGCAAGAGAGCAUGGAUGGCACAGUGUGAUACAUCCUGACCAUCUGACUAUCCUGCGGAGCGGUCUGGAACAUCUUCAUUUUUAAAGCUGGUUGUGAUCAUGAGAACGGCAUGAAGAAGGACUGAAGACCUCACUUCAGGGCCCAGGAAGGACUGGUCCAGGACUCAGGAGGUGUGUGUUGUAUUCUUGACGCUUUCACUGAGUUGCUGUGGGAUAUUAAGAAAGUCUUACCAUCCCUGGGCCUCCCCUUCUGGAAUACAGAAGUUCAUCCCAUUCCCCAUCGUGAGAAUGUGACAUGGACAAGGACAAAUGGCAUCACUUAAAAUACAUGUCACCUACAUUCAAGGCAAGGCGGCUUUGAUAAAGGAAAGACUCCGCUUUGCAUCAGCUAUGGGCUUGGAGCAGAAGCUGAGAUCUCAGUGCUGGCUGCUCUCCAGGGAAGUUCUGGAGGGAGCAGAGACUUCAGGGAACUCUGAUGAGAACCUUGAUUCCUCUUAACUCCAGCUGAACCCAAGUCUCCAGGACCAAUGACAAGCAGAAAACUCACAACUGUCUGAAAAACACAGGGCUCAAGCCAACAGCUGCAAAAGCCUGAAGUUGAUGAGUGUGGAAUUUACAUGCUUACACUGGAAAACAGGCUCUGCUGCAUUUUCUUUGACUGGAAGCAGGAAGUGUGGGAAAAGUCAAGCGCAUUGACUGAAUCCAGUUUGGAGCCAGGGGUCAGCAGAAGGAGAUUGUUGGGUGGCAGUAACUGUGGACUGCCUGUUAACAUCCGCUAAUGUUUGGGGUUCUCUCUGAGAUUUUUGAUGGGAAAAACCUGAAGUUAACCAGGCAGGGGAUCUCAGUGCAUCAAACGGACACAGGGCUGAAUGGGAAAUGCCUAGUUUUCUUUGCUCCCUUCCCCAAGAGGGCAGAAAUGAAGGAAAGUUCUGAGGAGAGUUGAAUUAUUAUGCUGCAAGAAGUUUUCUGAAGAUCUGCGUUAUGAAGAUGGAUCCCAUUAGUAAAUUUGACAGCUAUUCCACUCCUCCUUGCAUUUUAGCAUCUCAAGCCAAAAUAUAAAUGAAAGGAAUACACUAUAUCUCAAAGGAAGCUAUCAAUCCUUACCCUCCCUGAGUGGGCACAAUUUGGGGGUUCUUCUACUUAGGUUGGGCUGGUUUUGCUGCUUUACCCACAUACUCUCAUCCAACACUCUUUGUGUCUGGUGAAGUCUGUGAGCCAUCAGACAGAGAAGUCUAUAAUUUUAUCUUCCUUUGUGCGCAUCAGACCCUACGCUGCAGAGUGAGGGAAGCCUAUGUGCAACAAGACACAAUGUGGCCUUUGAUCAUAUGAAGAUUGGAGAGGCUUGGUUCAUCCUUGCCCAGCUUCUUUGGAAAUCAGCACAAUGACAUUUUCCCUUCUAUAUAGUGAUCUGGGUAGGCAGGGAUAAUACAAUAUAAUAUAGUAUAGUAUAAUAUAGUAUAAUAUAAAUGACUUUUUUCCUUCUAUAUAAUGAUCUGGGCAGGCAGGGAUUCAAGUCUUCUGAUAUGGGUGGGAGAAAGCCCUCCCUUUGUCCUUACCCUGCUCAACUUGUUUUGGCCAGGAAAUCUAGCCUUGGGAUUUUCUAAGAGUUAGAUCAGAAAGGAAGAGAGUACUAGGCUGGGAGUAGUGGCUUACGUCUGAGACAUACUAGGCAGGAAGUGGUGGCUUAUGCCUGUAAUCCAAGCACUUUGGGAAGCUGAGACGGGAGGAUCACUUGAGCCCAGGAGUUUGAGACCAACCUGGGUAGCAUAGUGAAACCCUGACUCAUUUAUUUAACUUAAAAAAAAAUUAAAAUAAGAGAGUACCAGCUUCAGGGUAUAUCUAUUAGAUAUGUCAGUUUCCAGGGGUUGUUUGCAGGGAUGUAUAACCCCAUUCCUAUUCCCUUUAAUUUAGCUGGUUUUUCGUCUCAUAGCAUUGCUGGGGGCAGGUAGGUUUCUUUCCCUUCCUACUAUUCCACCCACUCAGAUCUUCUACUCCAAGCUAUUUGUAAGCUCAUUCAUUCAUCCAACACAUAUGGGACACCAAUAGCGUGCAGAGCACCACAUAGGCAUGGGAGAGAACUGACCACUUCUUCCUUGGCACCCCAGUGUUCCCUAUGCAGACUUCUGUCACAAACCUAACAGCAUUUUAUUGCAUUUAUUUGAUAUGUCUUCAGAUAUCUCCCUUUAAAAGACAAUACACAGCUGAGGGAAGGAAUUGUACUAGUAUUUUUUUUUUUUUUUUGAGACGGCGUCUGGCUCUGUCACCCAGGCUGGAGUGCAAUGGCGUGAUGUCAGCUCACUGCAAUCUCCACCCCCCGGGUUCGAGCGGUUCUCCUGCCUCGGCCUCCUAAGUAGCUGGGACUACAGGCGCCCGCCAGCAUGCCCAGCUAACUUUUUUUAAAAAUAUUUUUAAUAGAGACGGGGUUUCACCAUGUUGGCCUGGAUGGUCUCGAUCUCCUAACCUCGUGAUCUGCCCGCCUCGGCCUCCCAAAGUGCUGGGAUUACAGGCAUGAGCCACCGUGCCCGGCCUAGUAUUUGUUUUUAUCCUAAGUGUCUAGCCAGGGUCUGGUAUAUGGGAAAUAUUCAGUAUAUGUUGACUAAAUGGAAUGAACACAGAAGGUUGAGAGGACAAGGACGAAUUAAUCAGAGAGAUCCAUGUUUUGGAAAGAAAAUAGAUCUAAGUUUUUCUUCUGAGUAUCUUGGGCUUAGGGAAACUUUCAAAAUAAUCCUGGGUUUGGAAAUUUGACCUCUUCAACCUUGACAUUGCUACAGCCUCAGUGUGGUUGCUGGGCUGUUAAUAGUGUCACAAAGAUAUUUGACAGGACUGAGGACAGCUGAUAUGUCAUCAUUUUGAGCACCACAUAGGGCAUUUAUCAGUGAUAGAAUAUUGCUUAGAAACUGCUGCAGCAAUGCAUUUUGUUAGUUGAUUUGUAAAAUUAUUAAUAUACCUAACUGUUCAUAUUUUUCUGUGCAUUUAAAAGACACUUUAUUAAGGUAUAAUUGACACACAAAAAGCUGAACAUAUUUAAUGUGUACAACUUGAUUAGUUGUAUAUUUGUGAAGCCUUCACCACAGUCAAUGCCAUAAACAUAUCCACACCUCCAAAAGUUUGUGUGCAUUCUUGAACAGAGCCAUCAAAUGUUAAAAGUGAAAAUACUAUAGAAGGGAGUUUGCCCCUUUCUUUUUACAAAUGAGGAAUGGGAGCCCAGAGACUGAGCAAGGGUGUAUUACCAGCUAAUGGAAGAGCUGGGAUUAGAAUCAAGGCCUCCCAAUUCACAAUAAAGGCUUAGAAACCAGGGAGAAGAUGGCAGUGGCUGUGUAAGAGUUACUUCUCUCUUAUUCAGGGGACUUGAGCAUUUUUUCCUAGUUCCUAUACACAGAGGCAUUCCUUUCUCUUUCUCUCUCUCUUUUUCCUUCCUUCCUUCCUUCAUUUAUUUCUAUUCCUAACAUUUAGAGUAUGGGAUACUUAUGGUGUAGCAGGAAAGAGUUUAUACACAUUCUCUCAUUUAAUCUUUUUAUUUUGAGAUGGAGUUUCGCUCUUAUCACCCAGGCUGGAGCACAAUGGCACCAUCUCGGCUCACUGCAACCUCCACCUCCUGGGUUCAUGCCAUUCUCCUGCCUCAGCCUCCUGAGUAGCUGGGAUCACAGGCAUCUGCCACCAUGCCCAGCUAAUUUUUGUAUUUUUAGUAGAGACAGGGUUUCACCAAGUUGGCCAGGCUGGUCUCGAACUCCUAACCUCAGAUGAUCCACCUGCCUCAGCCUCCCAAAGUGCUGGUAUUACAAGCAUGAGCCACCAUGCCUAGCCCUCUCAUUUAAUCUUCACUACAACCCUAUGAAGUAAACAUAAUAAUAACAACAGCAACAGUUAUUAUUCCCAUUUUGUAGAAGAGGUACAAGGAAGUCAAACAACUUGCCCAAGAUCCCGAAAUCAGUAAGUGGCAGGGUUGGAAUUCAAACUCAAAUAUGUCUCACUGUAGAGUCCAUGCUCUUAACCAUGGCUCUAUAAUUUUUGUUUGUUUCUUUGUUUGUUUGUUUUUAACAG
rnacentral:lncRNA from 10 species